GGGGCGUGAUUUUUAACUUUGAUCCAUUUCAGUCCCUGUCAGUUAUUUUCAUCGGAGAUGGUACAGAUUUUGUUGCUACUAUGUUUCUUCGCAUAUUCAGAGUUAAUGAAGGUCUGUAAAUAGUUUUCUUGCCCAUAGGCUCCAUUUACAGUUAUUAAAAGUAUUUUUUUAACUCAGUCAUAUGAUUUCUAUGGGUUUCUUAUGCUUUUUUUUUUCUUUCCUUGAAUUUUUAAAAUAUGUUCUGUCGGACGAACUUGUUUUUUUCUCUUUCAUUUCCAUACAGGAGGGAGAAAAUAUUGUUCAUAUAGUCGAUGUUACAGUUUUUAACUAGUGUUUUGACUAAGGAUUAUUGUGAAAAGUUUUACUGUUUGCUAGCUUCCUAAUUUUAAAAUACCUGUAAUCUUUUAUAGGAAUUUCAACUUUUGCAAUUUGAUAAUAACAGAUCUGGGGAUUCUGGUCUGUAGGCCAAGUAUGCUCCUGCGUUUGGUACAGAUAGAAUAUGAAGGGCCUCCAUCAUCCCUCUUGGAAAAUAAGAGAUGCUGAGAAGCCCUGGACAACUGUAUGUAUGCUACAUCUGAAGAGAAAAGGGGCACGCUUGCUACCUUCGAGCUCCAUAUUGACUCCUGCUCAGAUAGAAGAUGCUAGUGGUUUGUUUGUUUGUUUGUUUGUUUGUUUUAAGGCAUCAUAGGUCUUUGAGAAUCUUCUAAAAAUCUGGAUUAUCUCCCCAGGCAGGUAAACAUAGCACAUAAUCCUUGCUCUAAGACUCCCAAGAUAAUGUCAGAAACUGCUAAAUUAAUCUGUUCUUAUCUGUUGCAUUAAUCCUCAGAUUCUUCUGGAUUGGUGAUGGGAGUCUGAGAGUUAGUAUAGGAACAGCAGAGGUAGCAUCAGUUUUUUAACCUGAUGUUGCCAUUCAUUGCAUGUCACCAUUUGGGUCAGCAUUUUCUUUCAUUGCUAUUGAAGUUUGCUCAGAAUAUAGCUAAGCUGUUACCUGCUAUAGGUGGUCCAGAAAGGACAGCCAUCCCAGCAAAGAAAGCGGCAAGUCCCAGGAACCUGUGUAUUCUAGAACUCCCAGACAGAUCAACCUGUAGGGAUAAGAAUCCAGUGUUAGCCAUACUGAGGGUGAAAUUCUAUGGAGACUAUGGCUACAAAGGGACAAAUGCUAUGAACAGUUGAUUUCCAAGGUGAUUUGGAUGGCUUUUUGCCUUGACAUUAUAGAAAAGCUGAGGCAAACAGGGAAGAGUCGUUGUGCUCGGCAGGCAGUGUUUUCAUUGUGAUCUUUGAGGUGACUCAGAUGCACCUUUAUUUCCUGUCACAGCUCUUCUCUGUUAGGAAAUGGUAUUUACAUUCUAAGCAGACAGGGGUGUUCCUGAAUCCACCUAUGGCUAAAUACCAGUCAUUGGUUUGUAAGAAGUCAGUUUUCCCAGGUUGACUUCAGCUUUAGAAAGCUUGGUUCUUGAAUAAGUAUAAUAUCCUACAGCCCUUAUGUUAAUAUUGAUAUCAGGCCAGAAGUUUCCCUGGGAUUCUGUUGCAGUAGAUUCGGGACCUAGUUCUGAGAAGAAUCCAUGGGAUUCCAAGAAGAACAAUUUCGAUUCCUUUUGGGACCAAGACUUCAUGUCAGCUUGAGGUAAAAGUAGAGAGUGGUUAAACAAUGUCCCUGGUAAAGUACACAGAACUUGUCUUAACAAGAGAGAAGUCACACUGGUCAGGAAGCCCCAGGUUUUUCUCAGGGAACUCUUCAAGAUGGUGUCUUAGAAGGAGCCAACGAAAUUUCCAGAGCCUAGGGAAGCAGUAAACACAGACCUAACAUGCUGGGACACUGAGAAGCAAAGUGGAAUCCUACUGAUCCUUUUUUUGCUUUCAUUUCUUUUUUGUCCCAUGUAGGUAAUUCUCUCGUCAUCCCUUCCCCCAAAGGUAAGAUGAAUCACUGGGCAGGAUAUAUAGCUAGCUGCAGGGUUUCUUCAGCCUUGUGUCUGAUUUUUUUUUUUUUUUUUAAUUAUAAAAUUACUACAAAAUACCUAUUCUCUUUGGGGAGGUUAUCAUUAAUGCUUGUUUUUACUGAAUGCUUUAACAGUGUUAAUGAGUGUGUCUGCUCACCAGUACAGGAAGUACCGUUGCCAGGUAACCACCAGCAAAAACGGCAAAGAAGAUGGCAUAGGUCAUAAGUAGUGGAAAUGUGGUGGCCAGAGGAGCAAGCAGGUUAGUGAAACCGCAGAGGAUGAGGUAAGACUUGUGGUAAUGAUACUUCUUGAUCCAGUCUUGAUCAGCAACCCAUCCGGAGACUAUUUGACUGACCGUCUCAGUGAUGCCUGGAACAGCAUUGAAAGACAUUAUGAAUUCCUAAUUCCAUUUGCCUAGCCCCUUCGAGAAGUGUAGCUGCAUUAGACCUCCUUUCCUAAAAGUAAUAUGGCUUCGUCCUGAGGCUAGGACAUAUGAGAGAAAAAUGGUCUCAUUUGUCUGUCGAUGGAUUCUAUCAUUUCUGUACCUGUUCCAAAUACAUCUAAUAAAAUACCAAAAAGGCUCCUUCAGAGUUGGGUGGAAGACCCUUCAGGUAUUUUUUUCCUGAUUGCAUUUGGAAAGCUCGUACCUCCUGACUGGGAAUCCCUGCUUACAGAGGACCAUUUGCUCAGGAGGCCUUCCUCAGAGAGGUCCUGCAAGGGAGGGAGUGAAUUUUCUAAAAGACUCCUAGACUCUCUGGUCAGUGUGCUGGGGAAGUCAUAUGGUGGAAGACUGGAGACUAUAAAUAAUAAAGUCUUAUGUUGAAAAAAAAAA